UGAAUACGAGAUGCUACGGCGUCGAAGCAGUCUAUGUCAUACUUCCAAGAAAAGCUUGCACUGUCAUAAACAAAUAAUGCCUGUACCAUAACCGACACAGGUGGGUAGGUAGAGUAUACUAAGGGGCGCGAGAUAACUCUCUCUAAGGAACUCGGCAAAAUGACUCCGUAACUUCGGGAGAAGGAGUGCCUUAUUUAUAAGGUUGCAAUAACAAGAUCCAAGCAACUGUUUACCAAAAACACAGGUCUCCGCUAAGUCGUAAGACGAUGUAUGGGGGCUGACGCCUGCCCAGUGCCAGAAGGUUAAAGAAGUUGGUUAGCAUCCGCGAAGCUGAUAACUGAAGCCCUGGUGAACGGCGGCCGUAACUAUAACGGUCCUAAGGUAGCGAAAUUCCUUGUCGGGUAAGUUCCGACCCGCACGAAAGGCGUAAUGAUUUGGAUACUGUCUCGGAGAGGGGCUCGGUGAAAUAGACUUGUCUGUGAAGAUGCGGACUACCUGCACCAGGACAGAAAGACCCUAUGAAGCUUUACUGUAACCUGAAAUUGAAAUUGGACUUUACUUGCGCAGUAUAGGUGGGAGGCGUUGAGAAUAUUCUUGCGGGAUUAUUGGAGCCAUCAGUGAGAUACCACUCUUGUAAUGUUAGAUUUCUAACUUUGUAUCAUUAUCUGGUCAAAGAACAGUUUCAGGCGGGCAGUUUGACUGGGGCGGUCGCCUCCUAAACGGUAACGGAGGCGCACAAAGGUUUCCUCUGAACGGGUAGAAAUCGUAUCUAGAGUGUAAAGGCAUAAGGAAGCUUGACUGUGAGACCUACAAGUCGAGCAGGGACGAAAGUCGGUCUUAGUGAUCUGACGGUGCUGAGUGGAAAGGCCGUCACUCAACGGAUAAAAGUUACUCUAAGGAUAACAGGCUGAUCUCCCCCAAGAGUUCACAUCGACGGGGAGGUUUGGCACCUCGAUGUCGGCUCAUCGCAUCCUGGGGCGGUAGUACGUCCCAAGGGUUGGGCUGUUCGCCCAUGAAAGCGGUACGCGAGCUGGGUUCAGAACGUCGUGAGACAGUUCGGUCCAUAUCCGGUGUAGGCGUUAGAAUAUUGAGAGGAGCCUUCUUUAGUACGAGAGGACCGAGAAGGACAUACCUCUGGUGUACCAGUUAUCGUGCCAACGGUAAACGCUGGGUAGCUAUGUGUGGAGUGGAUAACCGCUGAAAGCAUCUAAGUGGGAAGCCCACCUCAAGAUAAGUAUUCUCAUCAU
rnacentral:rRNA from 1 species